rnacentral:rRNA from 1 species
CCUACGGGUGGCAGCAGUGGGGAAUAUUGCACAAUGGGGGAAACCCUGAUGCAGCGACGCCGCGUGAGUGAAGAAGUAUUUCGGUAUGUAAAGCUCUAUCAGCAGGGAAGAAAGUGCCGUUACCUGAUUAAUAAGCCCCGGCUAACUCCGUGCCAGCAGCCGCGGUAAUACGUAGGGGGCGAGCGUUAUCCGGAUUUGCUGGGUGGAACGGGAGCGUAGACGGCAGAGCAAGUCUGGAGUGAAAUGCCGGGGCUUAACCACGGAACUGCUUUGGAAACUGGGCAGCUAGAGUGCAGGAGAGGUAAGUGGAAUUCCUAGUGUAGCGGUGAAAUGCGUAGAUAUUAGGAGGAACAUCAGUGGCGAAGGCGGCUUACUGGACUGUAACUGACGUUGAGGCUCGAAAGCGUGGGGAGCAAACAGGAUUAGAUACCCUAGUAGUC